rnacentral:rRNA from 1 species
UACGGGGGGAGCAAGCGUUGUUCGGAUUUACUGGGCGUAAAGGGCGCGUAGGCGGUCAGCACAAGUCAGUUGUGAAAUCUCCGGGCUUAACUCGGAAAGGUCAACUGAUACUGGGCGACUAGAGUGCAGAAGGGGCAACUGGAAUUCUCGGUGUAGCGGUGAAAUGCGUAGAUAUCGAGAGGAACACCUGCGGCGAAGGCGGGUUGCUGGGCUGACACUGACGCUGAUGCGCGAAAGCCAGGGGAGCGAACGGG